rnacentral:rRNA from 1 species
GAGCGAACAGGAUUAGAUACCCUGGUAGUCCACGCCGUAAACGUUGGGCACUAGGUGUGGGGGGCCUUUUCCGGGUCUUCCGCGCCGUAGCUAACGCAUUAAGUGCCCCGCCUGGGGAGUACGGCCGCAAGGCUAAAACUCAAAGGAAUUGACGGGGGCCCGCACAAGCGGCGGAGCAUGCGGAUUAAUUCGAUGCAACGCGAAGAACCUUACCAAGGCUUGACAUGUGCCGGUCGGCUCCGGAGACGGGGUUUCCUCCUUGUGGGGCCGGUUCACAGGUGGUGCAUGGUUGUCGUCAGCUCGUGUCGUGAGAUGUUGGGUUAAGUCCCGCAACGAGCGCAACCCUUGUCCCGUGUUGCCAGCACGUUGUGGUGGGGACUCGCGGGAGACUGCCGGGGUCAACUCGGAGGAAGGUGGGGAUGACGUCAAAUCAUCAUGCCCCUUAUGUCUUGGGCUUCACGCAUGCUACAAUGGCCGGUACAGAGGGCUGCGAUCCCGUGAGGUGGAGCGAAUCCCUUAAAGCCGGUCUCAGUUCGGAUCGGUGUCUGCGACUCGACACCGUGAAGUUGGAGUCGCUAGUAAUCGCAGAUCAGCAACGCUGCGGUGAAUACGUUCUCGGGCCUUGUACACACCGCCCGUCACGUCAUGAAAGUCGGCAACACCCGAAGCCCGUGGCCCUACGGGGAGCGGUC